AAUUUCUAAAGAGAGCUUACUUCAGUUCACUAAUGGGGGGCAGUAGGAUUCAAUUAGCUGCUGACUCAUUCAUCCAAAUGCUGAGUUAUAUGAGAUUUACACAGUAACUGCGUGAAUGAUGCGGGAGACAAGUUGAAUCUUAAGCUUCCUAUACUUGGACUGAAGGGAGCUCCCUUUACUGUUUUC
rnacentral:pre_miRNA from 1 species